UCAUUAAGCAGCAGGAAAAUGUCACUCUUCUGUUAUCUUUAUUGGAGUUUGAUUUCCAUGUCCGCUGGCCUGGUGUGAAGCUUCUUACUUCUCUUUUAAAACAACUAGGGCCUCAGGUGCAACAAAUUAUUUUAGUCAGUCCUAUGGGUGUUUCAAGAUUGAUGGACUUACUAGCGGAUUCCAGGGAAGUUAUACGGCGUCUUACUACUGCAGGCACUAACAAGAAGCAAUGGUGCAAUCCAGAAAAUUGUUGCUUUUGAAAAUGCUUUCGAGAGACUACUGGACAUUAUUUCAGAGGAGGGGAACAGUGAUGGAGGUAUAGUAGUUGAAGAUUGUUUGAUUUUGCUCCAAAACUUAUUAAAAAACAACAACUCCAAUCAAAAUUUUUUUAAAGAAGGCUCAUAUAUUCAACGUAUGAAACCUUGGUUUGAAGUUGGAGAUGAAAAUUCUGGCUGGUCUGCACAGAAAGUGACCAAUCUACAUCUAAUGCUACAGCUUGUUCGUGUAUUGGUAUCUCCCACCAACCCUCCUGGUGCUACCAGUAGCUGCCAGAAGGCUAUGUUCCAGUGUGGGUUAUUGCAGCAGCUUUGUACUAUCCUAAUGGCUACUGGGGUUCCUGCUGAUAUCCUGACUGAGACCAUAAAUACUGUAUCAGAAGUUAUUCGAGGCUGCCAAGUAAACCAAGACUACUUUGCAUCUGUAAAUGCACCUUCAAACCCACCAAGACCGGCAAUUGUAGUACUUCUCAUGUCCAUGGUUAAUGAAAGGCAGCCAUUUGUUUUGCGCUGUGCUGUUCUCUAUUGUUUCCAGUGUUUCUUGUAUAAAAACCAAAAAGGACAAGGAGAAAUCGUGUCAACACUUUUACCUUCUACCAUUGAUGGUAAUUCAGUUUCAGCUGGCCAGUUAUUAUGUGGAGGUUUGUUUUCUACUGAUUCACUUUCAAACUGGUGUGCUGCUGUGGCCCUUGCCCAUGCGUUGCAAGAAAAUGCCACCCAGAAAGAACAGUUGCUCAGGGUUCAACUUGCUACAAGUAUUGGCAACCCUCCAGUUUCUUUACUUCAACAGUGCACCAAUAUUCUUUCACAGGGUGAUAAGAUCGACAGACGGGGAAGCAAAAUACAAACAAGAGUUGGAUUAUUAAUGUUGCUUUGUACCUGGCUAAGCAAUUGUCCCAUUGCAGUAACGCAUUUUCUUCACAAUUCAGCCAAUGUUCCAUUUCUUACAGGACAAAUUGCAGAAAAUCUUGGAGAAGAAGAGCAGUUGGUCCAAGGCUUAUGUGCCCUUUUGUUGGGCAUUUCGAUUUAUUUCAAUGAUAACUCACUUGAGAGCUACAUGAAAGAGAAGCUAAAACAACUGAUUGAGAAGAGGAUUGGCAAAGAGAAUUUCAUAGAGAAACUAGGAUUUAUUAGCAAACAUGAGUUGUAUUCCAGAGCAUCUCAGAAACCCCAGCCAAACUUUCCCAGUCCAGAAUACAUGAUAUUUGAUCAUGAGUUUACGAAGCUGGUAAAAGAACUUGAAGGUGUUAUAACUAAGGCUAUUUAUAAGUCCAGUGAAGAA
rnacentral:lncRNA from 1 species